rnacentral:rRNA from 1 species
AUGAUGCAAGAGCAAUAUCAAAUGUCCAUGAUGGGUCACCUAAAGUUCUUCCUUGGUCUUCAAAUUCGUCAGCAGAGCAACGACAUCUUCAUAUCUCAAGAAAAAUACCUCAAAGACUGCCUGAAGAAGUUCGGAAUGCAAGACUGCAUAGGUUACACGACGCCAAUGCCAACCAAAAGUCAUCUGGGUCCUCACGCCAAUGGUAAAGAGUUCAAUCAAAAGGUAUACCGCUCCAUGAUUGGUUCUUUACUUUAUUUAUGUGCAUCUAGGCCAGAUAUCAUGCUUAGUGUUUGCAUGUGUGCCCGAUUCCAAGCGGCACCAAAGGAAUCGCAUCACUUAGCUGUGAAGCGAAUUCUUCGAUAUUUGGCUUACACCCCAACACUAGGAUUAUAG